rnacentral:lncRNA from 1 species
AUGUAGGGUGUUUUUAAAAGCUUCACGACCAUUUACAUAGACUUCAGGUGAGACCUCCUCCUUUCUGGUGAGAAAGGCACGCUUCCUUCAAGUUUCAAGUACAAAAGCAAUCAAUACUUGCAAGCCUUCUAGUGCCGAGUGUUUUUUCAAGGUCUCGUUUCCGUCUAUAUCCAAGACAUGAAACCCUAAAUCCUUGCAUGGGAAUUCCAGUAGCAUUCAAGUUCCAGCACAACUUACAAUAGCAACUAUUGCAUUGCCAUCUACGAGAACUGUAUUGAUAUGAAUCAGCUCGAAGAUAUGGUGGCCCAAAGCAAGUCGUCCCAUCCUAGAACUCCUUCCAGAAACAGUGCGCCAUCUCUAUUUUCCUCAAGCUCUCCUAUUCCAAAUCCAUUCUGCACGUUCGUUGUGUCCGGCAUUGCACUUCUCUCUCCAUCUCCGUUAAUUAUACUAUUCAGCCAAGCUUCAUCAUUCUCCCAGAUUGCCGGUAGUUCUGGUUGUUAAUUAUAAA